GAUUAGUGGCGGACGGGUGAGUAACGCGUGAGUAACCUGCCUUAGAGAUGGGGAUAGCCUCUGGAAACGGAGAAUAAUACCCAAUGAUACCAAGUUAUCGCAUGAUAGCUUGGUCAAAGAUUUAUCGCUCUAAGAUGGACUUGCGUCUGAUUAGCUAGUUGGUGAGAUAAUAGCUCACCAAGGCAACGAUCAGUAGCCGGCUUGAGAGAGUGUACGGCCACAUUGGGACUGAGACACGGCCCAGACUCC
rnacentral:rRNA from 1 species